rnacentral:rRNA from 1 species
UACGUAGGGUGCAAGCGUUAAUCGGAAUUACUGGGCGUAAAGCGUGCGCAGGCGGUUUUGUAAGUCAGAUGUGAAAUCCCCGGGCUCAACCUGGGAACUGCGUUUGAAACUACAAGGCUAGAGUGUAGCAGAGGGGGGUAGAAUUCCACGUGUAGCAGUGAAAUGCGUAGAGAUGUGGAGGAAUACCAAUGGCGAAGGCAGCCCCCUGGGUUAACACUGACGCUCAUGCACGAAAGCGUGGGGAGCAAACAGG